rnacentral:lncRNA from 1 species
AACAGAUGAGGGAGCCAUUUUUCUGCAAUGGAAUUAAAUGGCCAAGUGGGUUUUUCCUUUGUUGCAAAUGGGGAAUGCUUUUCCUUUGACUCCACCAUCCAGUUCAGGACGCCUGAAUGUGUUUAACAUUUGCCAAAGGACUCACACUUGGAAGAAUGAAGACCUUUUAAAAAGAUCUGGAUUUUUCCUUAUGACUUGGAAUCCAUCUUUGUCUUGUAUAACUAGGUCAUAGCACACUAUUAAUGUCAGCAGUUAACAGUUUUGAAUUCAAAAAAACCUAAAGCACUAAACAGCCCUCAGCGAAGCCGCCUUUUUGCCAGCCCAACCCUGGAAAGUUUGCAGUCGUGGAAGGAGCAGAAAUACCACGAGUGUAACUUACAAAGAAGGUCUUGGCCGGAGAUCGGAGCCAU